rnacentral:rRNA from 1 species
CCUACGGGUGGCUGCAGUGGGGAAUAUUGCACAAUGGGGGAAACCCUGAUGCAGCGACGCCGCGUGAGGGAAGAAGUAAUUCGUUACGUAAAGCUCUAUCAGCAGGGAAGAAAAUGACGGUCCCUGAGUAAGAAGCCCCGGCUAACUACGUGCCAGCAGCCGCGGUAAUACGGAGGGGGCAAGCGUUAUCCGGAUUUACUGGGUGUAAGGGGAGCGUAGAGGGUGCGCCAGGUCUGGAGUGAAAUGCCGCAGCUUAACUGCGGAACGGCUUUGGAAACUGGCGAACUAGAGUGGGGGAGGGGUAAGCGGAAUGCGUGGUGUAGCGGUGAAAUGCGUAGAUAUUAGGCGGAACCCCGGUGGCGAAGGCAGCUUACCGGACCGCAACUGACGUUGAGGCUCGAAAGCGUGGGGAGCAAACAGGAUUAGAUACCCGAGUAGUC